rnacentral:rRNA from 1 species
UACGGAGGGGGCUAGCGUUGUUCGGAAUUACUGGGCGUAAAGCGCACGUAGGCGGCUUUGUAAGUUAGAGGUGAAAGCCCAGGGCUCAACCCUGGAAUUGCCUUUAAGACUGCAUCGCUUGAAUCAUGGAGAGGUGAGUGGAAUUCCGAGUGUAGAGGUGAAAUUCGUAGAUAUUCGGAAGAACACCAGUGGCGAAGGCGACUCACUGGCCCGAUACUGACGCUGAGGCGCGAAAGCGUGGGGAGCAAACAGG